GGGGUCCCUCACGGUGACAACGGCUCUGAGCUCAUCGAGUCUGAUCCUUGACCGAACGCCACCCUGUCAACCAGAGUAGAGCACUGGGAGCUAUGUCCAGGCUUUCCUUAAAUGCCUUCAGGGAUGAGCCUGACUUCCAUCUCACUACAACCUCCUGUCAGGAAUUGAGGAGAGCAAGAAGGCCCCCCCUUGAUCCUCCUUUUCUCCAGGCUGAGCCCUCCCCAGCUUCCUCAGCUGCUCCUGGUGCUCAAGACCCUUCCUCAGCCCCAUUCCCUUCUCUGGACACAGUUCAGUGCCUCAAUGACCUUCUGGGAUUGAGGGACCUGGAACUGGACAGAGCACUCGAGGUGUGGCCUCUUCAGUUGUGAGUACAGGGGCAGAAUCACUGCUAUAGGACACGCUAUAGGAUACUAGAAGGGUUUGGGUUAGAACUUAAAACAUUGUUGUGUUCCACCCCCUGCCAUGGGAGGGACACCUUCCACUACCCCAGGUUGGUCCAAGCCCCAUCCAACCUGGCCUUGGACACUUCCAGGGAUGGGGCAGCCACUGCUUCUCUGUGCCAGGGCCUCCCCACCCUCACAGGGAAAAAAUUCUUCCUGGUAUCACCAUCCUACCCUUCACUGAUGUGCAGAGGGCCAUGCCGAAUCAGCCAGGGCUGCUGUGACUGCUGCUGUGACCAGAGCCAUCGCACACAGCCAUGUCCAAGGGGAGCAGCUGGCUCCAGCAGUGCAGCUCCACAUAGCUCCUAUCCCAAAUCUCAAGUACAGACAGGACCAGAGCGCUGGAAUUUCCAGUUACGUGCAUGCUUCAGGAAUUUUGUUCAUAGAAAAUGUGUUUUAAAGAUGACCCAUAAAGGAAGAUGAAUAAGUUGCUAUUUUCUUCCUGCUUGAUUGUUGCCAUUUAAGGCCAUGAAUUACAUUAAGGGUAAAUUGGGGGUUUCACUUAGAAAUAGCAAGUGCCUCAAGUCUUGAUUAUGUAUUUUGCUUCUAGGCUUGUGAGAGAGCUCUGGAGUCAAAGAGGAAAACCAUUUUUAGCUCUUAGAUGAGAGAGAGCCUCUGCAGAGGAUCUGUACCUGCUUUGUUUGUCAUGUGUUUCACUUAAAUAAAAGGUAAUCACAAAUUAAAUCCGGAGGCCUUUCAGUCAAGACCGACUUGUUUGACAUCUGGGAAAAAUACCAACCUACCAUAUUUGCAGUCACCAGGGAAAGCAGAGACCAGGGUGGAGGAGACCUGCAUUUCCAAUGCAAAUGAUAAAUAAAACCACCAGUGAGUCCUGAAGGCAGAGGGAAAGCCCUGCCCAGAAAGCCAGGGUGGCUGGAGCAGCUGGCGUUUAGUGUAGCCAUGGGUUCCCUCCAGCCCUGGGGCGUACAGCAACCACAGAGCAGCUGACAGCCCCGAAUAAGGACUGGGAACAGGGGGUGGUGUAAGGGGCUCCUGAGGAGAAACGAGGCUUUGUUAGAGGAACUGCAUUUGGACUUGUGAUCCACCAAAUAAACGAGCAGUGUGUUGGUACAGAUCAGACACGGAGGUCGAACAUGAGGCAGAAGUGGGCAGUAAAGGAGGAAGGAAUUGAACAUCUACACUGAACUCUGGCAUUUCUCUUCACGGCCCUGAGAGGUGGCCAGACAGUGAUAGAGGAAACCCUCCUUGCUGUGCCUCACUUCAGGAUUUCUCUUCAUGUGGGUAGACUUUGGUCAUCUCACAACCAAUACACAUUUUCCUAACCCAAACAAGGCAAGGCACAUAUCAUGCUGUCCCAGUCCAGAAAGGCAAAACAAAUUAUUACCACUAUCAAGGUAUUUUAAAACAAAAUAUCUUAACGUUCAAGGCCAAUCUGUCCUGGGGAUUUUAUGUUUUUUUUCUCUGGAAAGUCUUGUCUCAGUUCUCUCCUCUGAUUCUUCUUAAGACUGAUACAGCCUGAAUAACUUUUUGUCAGCUUGACUAAAGCCCAGCCAGGCUGUAGCAGCCACAGCACUUGGUACGCUUGGGUGGACUGCUGGCUCCACUGCUGGAAGUGAUUCUCAAUCCCUGAUAUGGUUUAAUACUGUAAGGCCUGCUAAAGUGGAUUACAGAUGGGUAUAAUGCAAGUCAGGGCAAGCUCCAGGUCAGCAGUCCUGCAAAGAACAACUUCAGAGACCAAGACUGCUCCUCCUCUGAGCACAGCCAAUACCACAGACCCAUCCCUGGACAGGUACCUUGGAAUGGCCAUUUUCUAAAGCUGAUGCUUUAAAGGGGACUUCUGCAAGGAGGCCAGUUUAGUUUGAAUGCUCUGAGAUUCCCUGGGAUUUUUCCACACAGCCAGCUGGCACCUCUCCUGGAGGAGCACAUGCUCACUAACGAGAGAACAGGACCCUCCCCAUCCAGGGACCGUUUCUGGUCAACUGUCCCUGACACAGCUGAGAGACAAUGAGGCCCUUCAGGGCUAAAUCCCGAGAGCUGCAACCAUCUCCUUUGCCAAGGACAUCACUAAUUCCUGGCGGUGGCUUGAUUCCAUAAGCAGCUCAGUGAGGUGACUUUCCAGGUCAUCAGCUAAUUGCAGGUGAAGUGCCAGCGACUGUCUCCAGCAGGAGGGAAAGUUGGGAACUCUGAGGGAAGAAAGGGUAUAAAACACGUUUGCUCAGCUCUCUUGGGCUGAGCCAUCUCUCCCAGGGCAGCUACAGGGAGGUAGGAAAGGGCUGGGUGCCUUGGAAAGAUCUAGAGCCAAGUCCCACUGUCUCUGCAGCCUGAAGAAUCCUGGAACAUCACCACGGCUGAGCCAGGCAGGGGGACACGCUCAGCCUGGCCCAUGGGUGGGCAUAUUAAAGCUUCUGGUCUCCCCACAACCCCUGGCUAUUUGUGUGCUGAAGAAGAGGAGGAGAUAGAUCACUGAUUAUUCCCUACACAACUUCCCCUUUAAGUCUAACAAAGCCAGGACAUGGCUCCUCUCCUGCCCUCCCUGACAGGCCUCUCAGCAUUUCCCCCCCUCUGUGAAAUGGAGUGAGGGGUGAAUUGAGCCCUCUGAAACUCCACGGCAGAGAAACUGUGCUUAAAAAAUCCCCUCUCUUCCAGCACUCAACAUUCUUGAGAGGAAACAACUCUGGGCUCCCCCGUGCUCACUGGAGUUGGGAGCAGUGAGUAAUGCUUGCAUUGUCCCUGCCCGGCACCACAUUCUUUUCUCCAGCAUGUAAUGGCCCAGAGGAGGGAUAAAUGGAGCCUUGCUGGAGCAGCCUGCAGCAUGGCUGUGCACACCAUGGCCUCACGCCGGACAGGCAUCAGGAAGGGCUGUGGAAGGCUCAGCUUCAUUUUACUGGGGGGCUGUUUACCCAAAAGAGUGAGGGAAAUGGGAAGAAAGGAGAAAAAAACCCUGCCAAGUGUUAACUAACAGCAUACCUCCGUUGGCUGUGGAGCAUGAAAAUCAUCCCGACGGCCCUGUGUCCAGCAGCUCAGAACCAGUCUCCCUGCGCCCACACCUCUGCUCACCCGAGCUGCUCUCAGCCCUGGGCAUUUUGCUGCUCACUGGUUUCUCACCACCAGUUUCUUCUGUUCUUUGUGUCUCAGUACAUUUUCCCACAGCGAUCAGUGACCAUUUCAGAAGAGGCUGAAGAAAGGCACCCCAUAUUUCCCUAUUGCUGUCAUCUCUUCUUGGCUGCUGGCCUUUUUCCUUCCCCACUCCCACCAGCUCCCUCCCCAGGAGCUUCCAUUGCCUCUUCCUCACCCCAUUUCCUCAGGUUAUAAGCCCAGUUUGGGCCUUACUCCAACCAGUUUCACCUCCUCUCUUGCAAACUGGUGCUUCCAGUACUCAUCAGCUCAUCCCAGCAUCUGCACCUCCAGCCCUGCCAGGCUCCCACUGCACCCAGGAGGGAGCCUGGGGAGAUGAAGGGCAGAAACCGGCAGGUCCACCCUCAGUAGAGUACGAUGCCAGAGCAGGAGUAGGCCAGGCAGAGGAUUAAAGAGGAACCAGAGCCUGUUCCCUGCCUUUCAUCUGCUCCGAGCAUGACACAAUCACAGACAUUAGCUCUUCAAAGGCAGGCGAGGGUGGCAGAGCCUUGGGAAGCUUGAAUACGCUCCCAGGUCUGGUCUCCCAGAGCUGGCAACAGUGCUACCUGGCUCAGCUUUUCCUGGUUCCUGACCCCGUAGCCUCAAUCUUCCGUCUCCUUUCCACAGAUGCGACCCCAGCUCUGGGGACUUGUGGACAUCACUGUACCCGACAGGGUCCCAGCUUUGUGAGGAUUAUCCCUGUUCUUUUCCUUGUUGAUCUAACAAGGCUGAAGCUUCACAGAGGGUUUGGAAACUCAAAGGAUGGGUAGAGUCAGUAAGCCCAAAACCUUCCUGGCAAAGGCUGGGCUGGAGGCAGGUACCAGCACAGAAGCUGUGUCACUCACCCUGCCAAAGCUUCCUCCUUCCUCCCUGCACCUUUUUCCCAGCCCCACCCAUGUAACACCUCAGCAGCCCUGCCCUCUGAAGUCCACUUUUUCCACUUCACAGGACUUUCUCUUGCUUUCACCUGAAAGCUGCUCCACCCAGCCAUCACACUGCCAGGGUAUGAGUCUCCUUACCUGAACCCAGGCCUCCCUCCCAGGGCAAACUCGGAGCAGGACAGGCAAGCUCUGAUACCUGGAGCAGGGAGAAGCAGGCACACUGCCCCACGCAGAGCUGCAGACUAGUCAAAGGAGCCUCGGUGAAGGAAGAAGGCAGCUGCUUUGGUUUUGUUACGGGAUCAGCACACCCCCUUGAUUCCAUCAGUCCAGCAAGAGACAUGAAACACUGAGGGAGACACACACAGAGCAACAUUUGGGAAGCUGCAGGUGAAUUCCCCAUUAAGCCCAGCUCCUCCAGCUGUUGCAAACGCAGGCAGUAUCUGGAGAACUCCAGCCCAUAGCAACCUUGGAGACCCACAGGUUUGGCAGGCUCAGUUCUACCCCUCCCAUAUCAGCCCGAGCCAUCUGCCUCGUGCCCCAAAGCACCAGCAUCCCCCCAGCCUGAUAGCAGAGCUGUGCAGCCUGGCAGGGCGAGAUCCCAGGAGGAGCAACUGUCAAAAAAUGGCACGAGAAGAAAGAAAAUGAACAACCAACACCAGUCAAGCCUCUAUGGUGUGCACUUUUAUUUCAACUGGUCUUAAGUCAGUGUACAGGUAGCCCCUCCCUCCCCCACAUACUGGCACCACUUCUAGACCCUGUGGGGGACUGUAAAGCCUUCAUUCACAUCUAUCACUGGGGAACACAGGCUGCUUGCUUGACAAAUCGAAGAGAAAAAGGAUCAAGUGUGUUUUGUUUUUAAGGCGGAAAGAUACAAAAAGACACUUGUCGGGUUACAUAAUUUACAGACAAGCAAUUAUAACCUAACACCAGCUGUAACUGGUGGACUCCCUCCGAGCUGGGCUUUGCCUUCACAGAGGCGAGUAACUUCCUGUAACAAUGCAUUAUAAUAUUUGGAAUGACUAUUAAAAAAAACCAAAAAAAUGUA